GACUGGUUUGCUUUAAUGUCUCCUGUGACAUAAGGAGAGAGUGACUCAGAGAAUAUAUGCGAUUUUGUUCAUGUUGAAUUUUUAGAAAUGUGAUGAACGGGUGGUGGUGGAUGGAGGUUGAACGAGAGAACAUGAAAAUAGAAGAACGAUGAUGAUGAAGGAUCUCUGCAGACUCGGAGUAGGUCCUUCCUGCACAGAUGCUGGAAUGCCUCUGAGAUUAGGUAUAAGGAGUUUCCCAAACCUGGGAUCUCAAGGCCUUGGGAAAGCACACGCCGAGGAGCCCUGCCGUCAGCAGCUACAGACAAAGGCUGUUGGAUUCUGCCACAAGGUCCGGGUUCUGACCUUGAUGGGAUUUAUUGACUCAGAAAAGUCAGCUGACUUCUGAUCUACACCACGCCGUGGGUGCCCAGGGCUUCGCAAGCACCUGCCUCAAAAUCCUGAGCCGACUUCCGGAGCAUGCAGGGACCUCUCCUCUGGUCUGGCCAUUGAGGGUGACCCAAGGUGAAGGGGACAGGGAUGGGGAUGGAGUCUGGAAGCAUGUGGGCAGGGCCUUCGCAGGCAAGAUGGAGCUGAAGGAGCGGGGCUGGCCGCCCUCCUUCCCUGGCCCGCCUCUCUCUGCCCAGAACUCUGAGGACCUCAGAAUUCUAAAUUCACACCUGGCCUUCCAUUUCAUUAGGAAGAUAUGUUUUUCAAGACAGGAAACGUAUUUUAUUCACUUUGUGUACUAGAUAGAUUUAACUUUUAAAUAAUUAAACAUGUGCCAUGAGGGUCUCCCUUCGUACUCUUGACCUGGCCCCUCAAGUGUCAGACCUGUUUUAAACCACCAAGGCAAAGACAUAUCAUCAACAGUGCCAUCUUGUGGUGACAUCUCCUAUUACCAUUUCCAAGUUGUCCGAGCUCCCUGAGUACUUUGUCAUCUCCAGGUUCGGGAGCUUAGGAACUCUGCCUGCGACUAUAACAAGCAAAGUUCAAAAUCAUACUGAACCACUGGGAGGUGGUUUAUGAGACUAAAGAGAUAUUAAAUGAUAUUCAGCAUAGUUUUCUUCAAAAUUGGUAAUUUAUGCGUGCGCCAUAAUAAUGAGUUCUCAUUUUUGUACAGUCUUUAGUUUACAAAGCAUGUCCACACACAGCCUCAUAGCUGAACCUCACAGUCACACUGUGGAUUCCGCUGAGAAUGGCGACGCUCAAUGCCCACCACCUGCCCUGCCUGUCCAGCAAGUCGAAAGCUCUCAUCGUCAUAGUAGAGCCAUCUUGCCCUUAACGAGAUGGGGUCGGGCAGGAAAUCGAUCUUCCUAACCACGAAGAGAAUAGAGAGGUUACAUUUCAGCAAAUGGGAACCUUGAUAACGACUUUCUCUUGGGUUCCCAGGCCAAGAUAAGGGAGAGGUUUCUGAAAGAGUAUCGUAAUCCUUCAAUACCAGAGAUCUGUGAUGAUUUCUUAUUAUCCACAACAAAGAGCAUUUAGCAAGAGUUGACUCUGACAUUUCCAUUAUUCCUCAAACAACUCUGAAAACCCCCUUCUCUGCUUCUCAGGCAGCAACCCACAGACGAUGCCACAGGGCCUUGGCCGAGAGUCAGGGCGAGUCGGGGUUAACCUCCCCUGAUGCCCCACUCCAGCAGAGCCGGGAGAUCUGAGCUGCCUGGAGACUUUUCCUUCCAAUCUGUCAGAGAUUAACAUCCUGUCCAGAGAAAGCUGUGAAGGCAGCUUUCUCCCAACAACCCACUGGUG
rnacentral:lncRNA from 1 species